AGGACGAACGCUGGCGGCGUGCUUAACACAUGCAAGUGGAGCGACGAACCAGGCUUCGGCCUGGGGCAGAGCCGCGAACGGGUGAGUAACACGUGGGUAACCUGCCCCGAUGACCGGGACAACCCGAGGAAACUCGGGCUAAUACCGGAUGUGCCCGCCUCACACCAGUGAGGUGAGUAAAGGUAGCUUCGGCCUCCGCAUCGGGAUGGGCCCGCGGCCCAUUAGCUUGUUGGUGGGGUAACGGCCUACCAAGGCUGCGAUGGGUAGCUGGUCUGAGAGGACGAUCAGCCACACUGGGACUGAGACACGGCCCAGACUCCUACGGGAGGCAGCAGUGGGGAAUCUUGCGCAAUGCACGAAAGUGUGACGCAGCAACGCCGCGUGGGGGAAGAAGGCCUUCGGGUUGUAAACCCUUUCAGGAGGGACGAAGUGCCGGCCGUUAAUAGCGGUUCGGUAUGACGGUACCUCCACAAGAAGCCCCGGCUAACUACGUGCCAGCAGCCGCGGU
rnacentral:rRNA from 1 species